GCUCGUUCCACAUGAACUCAUGACUUCGCUCCUUAAACAAGGCCUCGAUCUGCAGACGGAGAGAGAGAGAGAGAGACAGGUGUUCAGGUGAUCCUCCUCGUUCACCCAGACCAGGAAGGUCUUGUUGUCGUUGUGCCUGCAGAGUGACGAGAGCAGAGUGUCAACAUACAACAGGAAGUCUGUCAACAGCUGCUGAGAAACAUGAUUCAGCAUCAGCUGAGGUUCAGUCAGGCGGUCAUGCCAUCACAUUGCUGAGACUCAGCAGGUCAGAGGUCAUACUGACCAGAUGCCACGGCCGUCGGGCCAGUCGCGGGCCA